GUGCUCUUUGGCAGCACAUACACUAAAAUUGGAAUGAUACAGAGAAAAAUCAGCAUGGCCCUUAUGCAAGGAUGACACAAAUUCUUGAAGCAUCUGAUAUUUUU